UACAGAGGUCUCAAGCGUUGUCCGGAAUUAUUGGGCGUAAAGGGCUCGUAGGCGGUCUGUUGCGUCGGGAGUGAAAACUCAGGGCUUAACCCUGAGCCUGCUUCCGAUACGGGCAGACUAGAGGUAUGCAGGGGAGAACGGAAUUCCUGGUGUAGCGGUGAAAUGCGCAGAUAUCAGGAGGAACACCGGUGGCGAAGGCGGUUCUCUGGGCAUGAUCUGACGCUGAGGAGCGAAAGUGUGGGGAGCGAACAGG
rnacentral:rRNA from 1 species